ACCCUAAAUAAACUCUAAAACCAUAACCGUAGACAUACUCUAACCAAACCCUUAACUAAAACCAAAUACAAAUUAAUCCAACGCCUCAAACACACACCUAUUUAUUGAUUAUUUUUGUACAUUGGUCACUAUCUAAGUACGUCCGUCCACUAUGUUUGAUAGAUGUUUAAACACUAAUUUAGAGGGUUCAAAGACAAAGUUCUUGUGGUGUUAUCGAUAAAUUAAAAUGAUUUUUUUCUGCUCUGCCUUAGCUAGAAUACGCGUUCUGGGAGUAUGAAACGACGUAGUUUUGGUUAUUUUUUUGACCUAAUCUCUUUUCUUCCUCAUUCUUCCUCGACAGAGAGAUUGCAGCGGCGAAAAUUUGGAGAUCGACUCCCUCAUGUCUUCAGUAAAUUCUUCAUCCACUACAAGAGAUCGCCUCGCGAAACAACGGGGAAUUCCCACAAGAUGCAAUUGCGGUGAGGCAGUGAAUCGUUUCACUUCAAAAACAAUUCAAAAUCCGGGAAGAUUAUUUCAUUGUUGUCCUUUGGGAUCUCAAAAGGACAAAACCCACUUGUUCAAAUGGACUGACAAGUCAGUUGUUGAGGAGAUUGAAGACUUCCAAGACCUGUUUGACGUGUUACUCGUUGACAAUUCCGAGUUUCAGAAAUCAGUGAGAGCUGGUGAGGCCAUGAUGACACGCCAUGAGAGUAGAAUUCAAGAGAUGGAAGAUGCAAUGUGCCAUUGCGAAGAGAAGACCUUGGAAUGCAUUAGGGAACUUAGGGGCAUAAAAGCUUUGUUUGUGUGUUGUUUGGUGAUGGUCUUCUUGUACCAUAUCUAUGCAUGAUGUUCAACUACUUUUUAUGUGCUUCCUCAACUUGUUGUUUCUUAUUUUCAAAGAAGUUAAGACCAUGUUUCUUGUUAUUUCGAGGUGAUCAUCAUCUACUGAAACGAAUUAUUUUGCAAUUACUUUGAUUGUUACUAGAAUAAAUCGAUUUGUCUCUAUAGUUUAGCAAAUACCAAAUUGUCAAAUAGGUUCUUAAACAGAAGAUCAAAUUGUUUCAAAAGCAAUAAAGAAAAAAACAGAGACAGAUGCAGACACAUAACAAACUAGAUGGGUAAAUCGCAUGUUCCUCUCUUGUGUCCUUCAGUUCCACAACGGCUACACUUAUGCUUUUUAUUCUUCUUUGAUCCUUGAGAAGAUGCGAUCUUGUCUUCUACUGAUUCAUACCUUCUCUUUACUGGUCGACCAGCACUCUUUCUUGUCUUUGGUGGUAAAACCUUUGCAAGUUUAACCUCAGCAGGGACAUUCCAUUCUGACUCUACAACUGCUAUUGGAUUAAUGGAAUCUGCAUAGGCGGUUCUCCACGCUGCAGUGCUGUAUAAGGCGUCAGUGAAUCUGUGCACUUCCAUACCUGUCAAUCUCAAAAAAAACUUGAUCAAUAUGAAGUCUAUAUGAUGAAAAUCCCGAAAAUAAAUAAUUCUCAAGUAUUCAUGUGUUUAUACUUCCAUACCUCGUGAAUAAAUUGCAGGAAUGGCGUGUCGGCAAGGAAUUUUUCCUAUAUCAUACUUACCACAUGUGCAUGUUCUUCUUUCCAAAUCAACAUGACAAUCAUAUAUGUCUCCUUUUACAACCGAUCUGAAGUUGUCAACCUUGUAAACCUGGAAUCCUUUUGCCUUCACAAUUCUCCUAUCAAUCUUUCUCUCCACCUUAGCGGUUAAAGGAUCUAGAUGCUUUGAGCUUAACAAGCGACGCUCAUAGAACCAUCGAGUCAACAGUUCUCUUAUACUAUCAAGCAAAGGAAUAACCGGAUAUUCUCUAGGUAUUCUAAGAACUGAAUUUAUAGACUCUGCAGGGUUCGUGGUCCUAAUGUCAUACCUGGAACCAGGGAAGAGAGAACGAGCCCAUUUGCGCACAUCAGCCUCCCGUAGAUAUCUUCCAAGCUCAGGACUCAUAUCAAAAAUUUCGGUGAUACGUUCUUGAAAUUCAGUGUAUCUAUAUGCCCGUGAAGCCUUUUCUACCAACGCAGUCAAUCCUUUUGUCUUGAAAAAUGAGACCACAUUGGUCAAUAAGUGAUGAAUGCAAAUUCCAUGUGCUGAUCGAGGGUAGACAGUCCCAAUAGCUUUAGAAAUAGACGCAUUUCUAUCUGAGACAAAAGCUAGGUCUUGACAAUCAGCAAUAACCACUUUCAACUGUCUGAAGAACCACCCCCGAAUCGUCAUUCUCUGAAUCAACAACCCCAAAUGCAAUCGGAUACAAAUUAGAGUUACCAUCUACAGCAGUAGCAACAAGAAGUGUCCCUUUGUAUUUAUUUUUCAGAAAAGUUCCGUCAACAACAAUCACCCUUCGCAUUGCAUUGUAGAAUCCUCUAACUGAUUGCCCAAAUGACAUAAAUAGAUACAUGAAUCUUCCCUUCUCAUUAGUUUCAUAGUGAGUAUGCGUACCAGGAUUUGCUUCUUUAAUCAUAUGCAGAUAUGCUGGUAUUUUAGAGUAACUGCGAUCUGGUAUACCUCUAGCAGCUGCAAUAGCAAACUCACGAGCUUCCCAAGCGUGCCAAUAAGUAAUCUCACAACUAUGCUCCAUUCUCAUAAAUUGAAUGAUGUCAUUCGGUUUUGGGCCAUCGUUUGCAUCAUCAAAUCGAUGUUGUAUCAGAGUCCCAAUUGUUCUUGCUGAUGCUGUUUUUCCGAAUUUCCUUUUCUUUGAAGGAGCACAUGAAUGUCUUCCAUCACAUUGGUUGAUCAUGAAAUAUGUAGACCCAUCUAUUCCUUCUGCACGCACAGUCCAGUUGCACAAUGCAUCUUUACAUCGAAUAUACCACCAUUUUCUCGUGGAUUUGAUAACAGUGUAAUCGAAAUUAUUCUUCAUCGCUAAAAUUUCCAUUG